rnacentral:rRNA from 1 species
CCUACGGGUGGCAGCAGUGAGGAAUAUUGGUCAAUGGGCGCGAGCCUGAACCAGCCAAGUAGCGUGCAGGAUGACUGCCCUACGGGUUGUAAACUUCUUUUAUAAAGGAAUAAACUGAGGCACGCGUGCCUUUUUGUAUGUACUUUAUGAAUAAGGAUCGGCUAACUCCGUGCCAGCAGCCGCGGUAAUACGGAGGAUCCGAGCGUUAUCCGGAUUUAUUGGGUUUAAAGGGAGCGUAGAUGGGUUGUUAAGUUAGUGGUGAAAGUUUGCGGCUCAACCGUAGAAUUGCAAUUGAUACUGGCAGUCUUGAGUACAGUUGAGGUAGGCGGAAUGUGUGGUGUAGCGGUGAAAUGCUUAGAUAUCACAAAGAACACCGAUUGCGAAGGCAGCUUACGAAACUGCCACUGACAUUGAUGCACGAAAGUGUGGGUAUCAAACAGGAUUAGAUACCCUAGUAGUC